GUCUAAUGAACUUAAAAGUUUUUUUUUUUGCCUUUGAGCAAUUCACUAUGCUGUUGAAUAUUAAUCCUCUCAAAAAAAUGUUUGAAGAAAUUUUCUUUUUAUUUAUGAAAUCUGAAAUGAGAAAAAUUUAAACCCCCCCUUUUUUUUCACAUCCCCGUUUCCCUUUCUCCAAAACUGAUAUCAAUUCAAAUUUCUAAUGGAGUUUGCAACAAUAACUACUCUUUUAAAUACAUCAUAAAAUAUUAAAAUGUAAAAUAAAGUGCUUGUUAUCACUGAAUGGUAAAGAUUGGUUGGUAGUAAAAGUGAAUAUACAUUGUUUAUUG
rnacentral:lncRNA from 1 species